rnacentral:rRNA from 1 species
CUACGGGACGCAGCAGUGGGGAAUUUUGCACAAUGGACGCAAGUCUGAUGCAGCAAUACCGCGUGAGUGAAGAAGGCCCUUGGGUCGUAAAGCUCUUUGUUUAGGGGAAGAUAAUGACGGUACCCUAAGAAUAAGCACCGGCUAACUCCGUGCCAGCAGCCGCGGUAAUACGGAGGGUGCAAGCGUUGUUCGGAUUUACUGGGCGUAAAGGGCGCGUAGGCGGUUUGUUAAGUUAAGGGUGAAAUCCCGGGGCUCAACCCCGGAACUGCUCUUAAAACUGGCAGACUAGAGACAGAUAGAGGUGAGUGGAAUUCCUGGUGUAGAGGUGAAAUUCGUAGAUAUCAGGAGGAACACCGGUGGCGAAGGCGGCUCACUGGAUCUGUUCUGACGCUGAGGCGCGAAAGCGUGGGGAGCAAACGGGAUUAGAUACCCCCGUAGUC